CAAACAAGCCUUAUGAAUGCAAUGCCCAAUAUGGGAGCUCUAGUAAAAUGGAUAUGGUGUAAAUAAGAUUUAGAGGAUUUAUUUUGUCCCCUUGUGGAUAAAGGCCUGAAGUGUGUGCUGAUUUUUGGAGUUCCAGCAAAAGUUGCGAAGAAAUCCUGCAUGAAGAUGGCAGCUUGGAUAAUGCUGUCAGCUGUUUGGGGUUGGCUGAAGUAGCUCUGGCUUAUGCUCGAGCAGGAUGCCAUAUCAUCACCCCUUCAGAUAUGAUGGAUGGACGAAUUGCAGCCAUUAAGCAAGCUCUAAUCGCCAAUAAUCUUGGAAACAAGGUGUCAGUGCUGAGCUACAGUGCUAAAUUUACCUCUUGCUACUAUGGACCAUUCAGGUAGUGUACUUCUAAUGAUUCCCUUUAGAAUGCA